AAGACUAUAGACCUGCGGAGUACCUGCGGAAGGAUCAUUACAUGGCGGAGGAGGUGGGCACCUAGUAAAAACAGAACCCUAGGUGUGUUGCCUACCACGCUUUCUACCCUUGUCUAUUUGCACCUUUUGUCGUUCCCUCGGUGGGUCUUGAACCUGCCGGCGGCAACUUUCAAAAACCUUUUGUAGUUAGUAUCUAAUUCUUCUGAUCAAAUAUUCAAUCGUUACAACUUUCAACAACGG
rnacentral:misc_RNA from 1 species